CCCCGCGCCCCUUCCUGACAACGCGCCGUCGGAUUUCCACGGCCGAAGGUCUCGGCGGGGGCUGCAGGAAAUUGGGGCUGAUGGGAGACCCCCGGGAACCCCAAACCGCUGCGGGGUGGGCGCGGGGACCCGCGGGGAAAAGGCGCCUGGAGCUGUCGGUCAGCCCGCAUCGGGACGGCGCGGCGAUUGCCGGCUGCUCAGAGUGGGACCGAUCCCCCCCGGAGGAGGAGGAGGAGGAGAGCAUCCCCGUCUGCUCAGUGCUUCUUGGAACCACCAACACGGCUCUGCCUCCGGCUGCCUUUCUGCGUGGAGACGGAGCCGGCAGCGGCGUCGGGCUGCUGGAGAGCUUCUCCUCUGCUUCCUACGGGGCUGCCCGCAGCUUUGGGGACUCCUUGCAUUCGCUGCAGACCUCUCCUUUCCCAGCAGUAAAUACUCAGCUGACAUUUGAAGGGAAGAAAAUGCUUCCUGGCGCUUUCUGGCUUUCCAUCUCCAGCGAUGACUCCCACAUUGGUUGGGAUCGGCGCAGCAGCGGCUCUGGGAUCUGCAGAGCAGAACUCCUCUGACUGGGACUGUGGUGUGGGGAGCGCUGCUGGUCUGACCUACGGCACAGAGCUUCGGCCAUCCGUCCGUCUGUCCGUCCAUCCGUCCGUCCCGGUGCGUAUCACUGCGCAUCCUGGAAGCGCUUUGUUAGGGGAUGGGAAGUGUCCGUCUGUCCGUCCCAUGGGGAUGGGAAGGGCUUCGGUUGGGGUUUGGGGUUUUCCUUGGGGGGGGGGGCCGCACCCCGGGCAGUGGCUCCGUGUGACAGUGGGGCACAAUGGGGGGGUGCGCUGGGAGCGGCCCCCGGGGGCAUUUGUGCCCACAGAGCUCCCAGGGAGAGUAUUUUUUCCAGCCUUCCUUUGGGCUUUUUUCUUUUUUUUCAAUUAUUAUUUUUUUAUCAUCGUUAUUUUUUACUUCUUUUACCGCUUUGUUUUGCUUUCUGUCGUUAUUCCUUUUAGUUAUUUUCUUUCCCUUUUUUACCUCGUCGGAGCGGCUCCGCUCAAACCCCGACCUCCGGCCGCGCAACG
ensembl:lncRNA